UUAUACGAGAGACCCAAGUUGACGCCUACGGCGUAAAGCGUGAUUAUAGGGUCAGAAUAAAACUAAAGCCAAAACCCCUCAAAGCUGUUAUACGCACAUCGAAGGCCGUAAGCCCAAAAACGAAAGUAGCUUUAAAUAAAUUGCCUAGACCACACGACAGUUGGGAAACAAACUGGGAUUAGAUACCCCACUAUGCCCAACCAUAAACUUUGAUAAUAAAAUACAAAUAUUAUCCGCCAGGGAACUACAAGCGCAUUGCUCGAAACCCAACGGACUUGGCGGUGCCCCACACCCACCUAGAGGAGCCUGUUCUGUAACUGACAAUCCCCGUUCAACCUCACCACCCCUAGCUUAAUCAGUCUAUAUACCACCGUCGUAAGCUCACCCUGUGAAGGCCCAAUAGUAAGCAAGAUGGGCACAACCCAACACGUCAGGUCGAGGUGUAGCACAUGGGGCGGGAAGAAAUGGGCUACAUUUUCUGCCCAACAGAAUAUCAACGAAUAAUGACAUGAAACUGUCAUUUAAAGGAGGAUUUAGCAGUAAAAAGAAAAUAGAGAGUUCUUUUGAAGCCGGCCCUGGGGCGCGCACACACCGCCCGUCACUCUCCACUACAACUUUCUUACAAAAGAAUAAAACACAAAAUUAAAUAAUAUAACAAUUACCCCAACAGUGGAGACAAGUCG
rnacentral:rRNA from 1 species